rnacentral:lncRNA from 1 species
AGGCGUCUCUAAAGGGAUGCGAUGGUUCUAAUGCCGGUUCCCCGGGAGGCGACGCUCCGCGCGGGUUGCGUCCGUUCCACAUCAGGAUGGAACCGCCGUGAGCAGUUGUGUUAGAAGGAGCGGGGAUUCUUUCCCAAAUAACCGUCGGGUUAUUUUGUUCUUAACACUCCCCCUAAUCACCGCUUGAUUCACUGCUUGAUGAUUAUAUGUAAAAGUCCAUCUUGAUUAA